rnacentral:rRNA from 1 species
GAUGAACGCUAGCUACAGGCCUAACACAUGCAAGUCGAGGGGUAACGAGAGGAAAGCUUGCUUUCCUUGUCGACGACCGGCGCACGGGUGAGUAACGCGUAUCCAACCUGCCCCCAACUAGGGAAUAACCUUGCGAAAGUAAGACUAAUACCCUAUAAUUUCCUCAGAUGUCAUCUGACGAGGAAUAAAGAUUUAUCGGUUGUGGAUGGGGAUGCGUCUGAUUAGCUUGUUGGCUGGGUAACGGCCCACCAAGGCAGCGAUCAGUAGGGGUUCUGAGAGGAAGGUCCCCCACAUUGGAACUGAGACACGGUCCAAACUCCUACGGGAGGCAGCAGUGAGGAAUAUUGGUCAAUGGGCGGAAGCCUGAACCAGCCAAGUAGCGUGCAGGAUGACGGCCCUAUGGGUUGUAAACUGCUUUUAUACAGGAAUAAAGUUAGCCACGUGUGGUUAUUUGUAGGUACUGUAUGAAUAAGGACCGGCUAAUUCCGUGCCAGCCGCCGCCGUAA